CGGCGCCUGGGCCGGCGGCGCCGCCGUUGCGGCCGGCUGGGGCUGGACCUCCCCGGCCCUGGUCGGCUCGGCCCUCGCCGCCGCCGGCC
rnacentral:tRNA from 1 species